ACGCGGCAUACGGCUCAGUAACACGUGGUUAACCUACCCUCAGGACGGGGACAAACCCGGGAAACUGGGGCUAAUACCAGAUAGGCGAGGACGCCUGGAAUGGUUCUUCACCCAAAGGGCUUUGGAAACAUGCUUUUCAAAGUCGCCUGGGGAUGGGGCCGCGUCCGAUCAGGUUGUUGGUGAGGUAAUGGCUCACCAAGCCUAUAACCGGUACGGGCCGUGAGAGCGGUAGCCCGGAGAUGGGCACUGAGACAAGGGCCCAGGCCCUACGGGGCGCAGCAGUCGCGAAAACUCCGCAAUGCACGAAAGUGUGACGGGGCUACCCCGAGUGCCGUCCGCUGAGGAUGGCUUUUCCUCGGUGUAACUAGCCGGGGGAAUAAGGAGAGGGCAAGACUGGUGUCAGCCGCCGCGGUAAUACCAGCUCUCCGAGUUGUAGGGAUGAUUAUUANGCUUAAAGCGUCCGUANCUGGC
rnacentral:rRNA from 1 species